rnacentral:rRNA from 1 species
GAUGAACGCUGGCGGCGUGCCUAAUACAUGCAAGUCGAGCGAACAGACGAGGAGCUUGCUCCUCUGACGUUAGCGGCGGACGGGUGAGUAACACGUGGAUAACCUACCUAUAAGACUGGGAUAACUUCGGGAAACCGGAGCUAAUACCGGAUAAUAUAUUGAACCGCAUGGUUCAAUAGUGAAAGACGGUUUUGCUGUCACUUAUAGAUGGAUCCGCGCCGCAUUAGCUAGUUGGUAAGGUAACGGCUUACCAAGGCAACGAUGCGUAGCCGACCUGAGAGGGUGAUCGGCCACACUGGAACUGAGACACGGUCAAGACUCCUAAGGGAGGCAGCAGUAGGGAAUCGGCCGCAAUGGGCGAAAGCCUGACGGAGCAACGCCGCGUGAGUGAUGAAGGUCUUCGGAUCGUAAAACUCUGUUAUUAGGGAAGAACAAAUGUGUAAGUAACUAUGCACGUCUUGACGGUACCUAAUCAGAAAGCAACGGCUAACUACGUG